UACGUAGGGGGCAAGCGUUGUCCGGAGUUACUGGGCGUAAAGCGCACGCAGGCGGUCGCGUAAGAGUGCGGGGACAGUGGGCGGCUUAACUGCCCAAGGGUCGCACAGACUGCGUGACUGGAGGGCCAGGGAGGGACCUGGAAUUCCGGGUGGAGCGGUGAAAUGCGUAGAGAUCCGGAGGAACACCAAUGGCGAAGGCAGGGGUCCUGGCUGGCACCUGACGCUCAUGUGCGAAAGCCAGGGGAGCGAACGGG
rnacentral:rRNA from 1 species